rnacentral:tRNA from 1 species
GCGGUGGUUCGGCCAGGAGGAGCCGAUCCCGCUGCUCUACGCGCUGCUGCAGAAGCUGCCGCUGUUCGACUCGGCGCUGCCGCU